rnacentral:rRNA from 1 species
CCUACGGGAGGCAGCAGUGAGGAAUAUUGGUCAAUGGGCGCGAGCCUGAACCAGCCAAGUAGCGUGAAGGAUGACUGCCCUACGGGUUGUAAACUUCUUUUAUAAAGGAAUAAAGUGAGGCACGUGUGCCUUUUUGUAUGUACUUUAUGAAUAAGGAUUGGCUAACUCCGUGCCAGCAGCCGCGGUAAUACGGAGGAUUCGAGCGUUAUCCGGAUUUAGUGGGGUUAAAGGGAGCGUAGAUGGGUUGAUAAGUCAGUUGUGAAAGUUUGCGGCUCAAACGUAAAAUUGCAAUUGAAACUGGCAGUCUUGAGUACAGUUGAGGUAGGCGGAAUGCGUGGUGUAGCGGUGAAAUGCUUAGAUAUCACGAAGAACUCCGAUUGCGAAGGCAGCUUACU